rfam:Gossypium arboreum cultivar AKA8401 contig_109397_1, whole genome shotgun sequence.
UAUUAAAAAUUUAUCUAUUUGUAUAACUAAAAAUUGGUGUGCUUGAUGGAAUAAUUUGACAAUGACACGUGGCAUGUCAUAUGUAUGCCAUGUUAACGUACAAAUAUUAACUUUUAAUAAUAAAAUGGAUAAAAAUUUUAACA